UGAAACAUUUAGACCUAUGACGAUGAAAAGUUUGUUGGCAAAGAACUUUCAAGCCCACAAAUAAACUAAUAGUCGGCAAAAACAUGUCCGUUCGUCAUCAAGAGAGGGGCGCGGAUUAAUUCCUGCCCGCUCAUUUAUUUUUUUUGUCUUUUCGAUUCCCCGCUCAAUUUUUCAGUUUAAAGAAUUUCCCCUUUAAAACUAGAUUCAACGUAUUUUCUACAAACCCUGUUAUAUGCGGAUAGCCCAGCCCCCUCUUCUCUCUUUCUCUCUCUCACGGCGCCACUGUUCGCUUUCCGUCAACAUUGUUUUUUGGCUCGCCGUCGUCAUCGCUUCAUCUACUCUCUGUUGCCGUUGCCGUCGAAGUGCCACUGCUACUCUAGCUUCGUAAUCGCUAAUACUGGGUGCUUCGUUGCACUUUAUUACUCUAAAACGUUUUGGGUUCUUUGCUCUCAAUUAUGCUGCAGAUGCUGCCUGCACUGUUUUACGGGUUGAUCGGCCCUUAAAUCAUCCAAGGUUUGAGGUCGCAACGGUCUUCAGGAAGCCACUAAAUUCUUCUCCUCUUGCCCCAUGACACAAGCUCCUGCAUAUUUGGUGUUAUUGGAUUUUUGAAAUCCAUUUGAUAUAAAUCUGGGAAUGCUCAUUUUCUUGCGUGGAAAUAAAGCUGGGAAUGCCCCUUUCCUCAUGACACAAGCUCUUGCAUAAUGCUACAUGGCAGCCGACUUUAAGGAAUCACAAUAGGAUAAUUUUAUUGUGUGACAUGCUUUUGUAAAACACUCUAGAUGUACAUUUGAAAUUUAUCAAUCAAUAAAGUAUUAUUUCUUAACAA